UAUAUCCCUCACUAGCCCCUACCUCGUCUCCCGUCUCCAGGGGCAGCCGUCUGCAUCUCGUUCCCCUCUCCCUCCGACAUGGCCGCCCCCAUCCACCGCCCACCCCCGCCGCCGCUGCCCUCACCCUCUCCCUGCCCAGGCCCCACAUCAAGCAGCGGCCAUGGCGUUCCCGGCCGCCGUGGUGCGUGAUUCCCACCUCUACCUCUGCCUCGCCGUGGAUGGGAAGAUCGGAAUCCUCCAUGGACGGACGCACUGAUGGGGGUCUCGUCUGACGACGGAGGCGGACCACCAGGAGGAGUUGCCGUGAGACGACACCGACGGUCGGCUCCUUCUCCACAACAACACAACACCGACCGUGGGGACUCCCGUUCUUCCACCCUGAUGGCCUCUCCUCCGGCGCCCCUGUUCUUCUUCCACUCCAGCACGAUGGUGCACGACAGAGCCGGCUGCGUGUGGUGCGUGCGGGGGGAUUCUUCUUCCACUCUGGCAAUCUGAGAGCAGCCAAGCAAGGUUAUUGAGAUAUGUAUCUUGCGAUUCUUUGUGUGCCGGUUACAUCUGCGGGUACGGCUGCACGAGUUCAUGUCUGUCAUUCACACAUGCAAAUUGUGAUGCCUGCUGCUUGCGACAGUUUCGCCCCUGUUCUUCUUCUACUCCGGCAAGAUGGUAAGCCACCGGUUCCCUCCUCUGCCUUGCUCUGCUCUACUAUACUUGCAAUGCCUUUUCUUGUUUCUAUCACCUAAAAAAGGCAUCAGAGAAACAUGUUUCAGUUUUAUAGGCCCUCAAGUGCUAAAUUAGCUCUGAUCUUGUCCAUAUCAGUGAUUCCUACAAGAUUCUUGUAUGUGCCAUAUUUUGUAAAAAACUCUUCUUCACGGAUCAGAUUGUUUGCAGCUAUUUACUUGACGAUAGAAUGAUGAGAUUCGCAUCAAAGUGUUUGCAACUUUUGAUGUGUCAAGGGUUCUUGACACAUCAAGGCCUCUGCUGUACAUAUGUCAAGGAUGAGAUUCACAUGAUGAUUUGUUUUUCCUUAUGCUGUAUAUAACUGUUUUUUUGCGUGUGUUAUGAUUUAGUCAGUAGCCAAUUAAUGUUAGUGAUAUAUGUAUCUUGUGAUUCUUCGUGUGGCGAUCAUGGUUCGUUGAUGCGGUUUCGAUUUGUGAUUCCCUGGCGAGGUUUCCUCACACACGCAGGUCCACGACAGAGCCGGCUACAUGUUGUGUGUGUGCGCGGGGGGGGGGGGGGGGGUCUCCUUCCACUCCGGUAAUCUGGAUUCAAACUUGGUUCUGAAAAGCACACCACAGAGGUCACCGUGAAGAAGUCUGGAAGCCUGCUUAUAAAUUCUGGGAUACAAGGAUACUCCCUGCUAAAGACAACUCAGUCUGGAUUUGAAGGAUUCAUGAGGGAUCGCUACACUCUUCUUCCUGAAACAAGAGAAAGAAUUGUAGCUACAGAAGUAACUGCUUGGUGGAGAUGAGAGGCUGGAAUGUUCCAUCCAAAUAGUUUAAUCAGAAACUGCACUGGCAAAGGUCUAGAGGAUGUAGAGGAGCUCCAGUUUGAUCCUAAGGAUGGCAUUGCUUUUUUUCUUCUUAUGCUCCAGUUUGCAGCAGCAUCUCCGACACCCUCUCGACGAAUUGCAGGUAGAUUGUAGCUGAGGAUGCGGCGAUGACCACCGAGGACCGGAGUGCAUGCUCGGUGGCAGAAGCAUCAGGGUGCUCCACGCUCAACAUCUUCUCAGCAUAGCUGCUCGAUCAGUAGUUUUGAUUGAUCUAUUUGAUAAUUUAAGCCAUCCAGUUGAUGUUCUUGGUUCGCUCAUGCUCUUUUCUUAUGUUGUUGUUUAAUCACUAUUGGCUUGGAUAUUCUCUAUAGCAUCUCAACAAUUCACUGCAACUGGCCAGGUUAUUCUGUAUAUUUGAUACUGUACGAGAGUAGCAGUCGGACUCAAAAAAUCACAACAUUCUGCAGGUACAGCAACCACUUGACGCCGAUCCUUGAUCUCAUGUUAUAUGAGUAGGUUAUAAAUUUUUAGUAACUAAAUUCACAUUAGUUUUUGAAGCACAAAUUGAUGUCUGUAAGUUAUUUAGGAUAACAUUUUGCUCCAUUUGGUAGAUAUAUAACAAGACAAUAUAGAGGGAUGUAGAGAGCUAUUUUUUUGUUAAAAUAAACAGUGGAAACGGUUGGCUUUAAUCAGAUAUGUUUGCUGAAAUCCAUUUGGAUAUUUUUUUCUCUUUUCUUAGCUUGGUCGCACAUGGAUCAGCUUAGUGUGUCUACCUUUUUCACUAAAGUGUGGAUAUUUAUGUAUAGAGUAAAACGUGUCCAUGCUAUUUAUUUUCCAUAGUCAUUGUUGCCUAUACCAUAUUUAAAUUGUUGUCUUUAUUGUCCUUAUCUGAUGAUAGCCCAUUGGGAAAUGAAAGAAAGUGGGUUAAAUACUUUGUUUCUUUAUUUUAGGUCCAAAUUUACAUUGAUCGUUUAGUGGUUCAUCGAAAUUCUUCUGCCUAUGACUUUGAAAUUGGCCAGUAAAAGCCAACAUCCACCCUCUUCACAAGCCGCAGUCAGGGAUUCGUUCAUUUUAGUGUGAGUAAGGAUGGGAACAUUGAUCUAUAUAUGUACUUCUGGAUGACAAAGACUUUGAGUUCUGUGUGAAGCUCCAAAAGGAAUACCUAUAAGACUCCUUCAUCAACUUAGUAAGAUUGCAUAUGCCCUUUGCGUUGCACAGGUCCAACGCCUCGCUCCUCUACUCAUAGUGAAAAAAAACUUAGGUACUCUGAAAUUUAUCUUUUCUUCCCCUCAUGCUUUGUUAGGUUAGAUCAAUAGUUUUAUCUUAUUGGACCUGUGCAUUUUGAGAGUCCUAAAUGGGAACAUUAAAUUUACUUGGACCCUAUCUUAUUCUCAUAUCUGUAACUAGCUUUGCUUGUCAUUUAGAAGGGACGACCUAAGGAGUAGAGAGAUUCGAGACAAUCAAAAUCCUGCAUAUGUAUGUUUACAUGCGUUUGAUAAUCCUAUGCCAGGGCCACAUAUAUA